rnacentral:rRNA from 1 species
AUUGAACGCUGGCGGAAUGCUUUACACAUGCAAGUCGAACGGCAGCACGAGAGCUUGCUCUUGGUGGCGAGUGGCGAACGGGUGAGUAAUAUAUCGGAACGUAUCCAAUAAUGGGGGAUAACUAAUCGAAAGGUUAGCUAAUACCGCAUACGCCCUACGGGGAAAGGCAGGGGAGUCUUCGGACCUUGCGUUAAUGGAGCGGCUGAUAUCUGAUUAGCUAGUAGGUGAGGUAAAGGCUCACCUAGGCUUCGAUCAGUAGCUGGUCUGAGAGGACGACCAGCCACACUGGAACUGAGACACGGUCCAGACUCCUACGGGAGGCAGCAGUGGGGAAUUUUGGACAAUGGGCGCAAGCCUGAUCCAGCCAUUCCGCGUGAGUGAAGAAGGCCUGGUGUAAGCNUUCGUCAAGGGAAGAAAACGAUACGACGAAUAAUAC